rnacentral:lncRNA from 1 species
GCUAUGGAGUCUAGCUAGUUUUCGAUUAUUAUGCGUAGAUUAAGCUGGUGGAGAGUUAUUUCCAUUCGGGGCAUGAUCCAAUCACGGGGAUAUUCUUCCUUAUCUGGACUUUUUUGAAUUGAAGGAGGUGUGGGAUCAAUCAAUGAAGGCUAUUGUGCAUCAUAGUCGAAGGUCGGCUUGGGCUGACUUGGAGUAUCAUGGUUCUAGUUAAGAUCUGAGCUGAGUCCUAAAGGUG